rnacentral:snRNA from 1 species
AUACUUACCUGACGCGAGAGGCACCUUGAUCAACUAGGAGGUCCUCUCAGGAUGAGGCCCUUUCAUUGCGCUUCGACUGGGUUGACUCCUGCGAUUACCCCUAAUGUGGGUAACUCGAGCGUAUAAUUUCUGGUAGUGGGGACCUGCGUUCGCGCUCGUCCCCU